UAUUUAAACGUUAGAAUAAUUAAGCUUCAUGAUGAAUGUGACUUUGUAGCUGAAAGGUAUUGUUCUCUCAGAAUAUUCAAAAAUGGUGAAAGAAUGAACAAAGUAUGUGAAUGAAUUGUGCCUUUAUACACAAAGCAUGCCAGUACUUGUGAAAGCUUUUCCUUGUUCGGUGGUGUAAAGUAAGCCUCUGAGUGCUUUCACACACCAGGUAGCAGAUGGGUAGUGUUGGAUGACGGCCCAAAAUAGACUCUUCAUAUCAUUUGUGGGAAUUUAUAACACAUUUACAAGUAUGUCUCAUUUGACCCUGUCUCUACAAAAAAAUGGUUAAAAAUUAGCCAGGUAUGGUGGCUUGCACCCACAGUUCCAGCUGCAAGAGAAUCUCUUGAUCCCAGGAGUUUGCGCCUUCAGUAAGUUCUGCUGGCUCCAUCUCACCAUUGUACCACUCCAGCCUGGGCAACAGAGUGAGACUUUGAUUGUUUAAAAAAUUGUUUUUGCCCCAAACAGCUCUUUGUUUUAAGACAUUUGAAAUAUUGAGCAGGUGUCGGACCACAGUAACUGGCCACAGCAUCUCUUACUGCUUGAGACUUUCCCUGAAAUGUGCUGGUAAGAGCAGCCUAGAGGAAGGUGGUUAUAUCUGAUAAGUAGAGGGAGGAGGGCAUAUAUGUGAUUCAUCUAAAAGUUGCAUCCCUUUAUUUAGGUGCAAGUCUGAAAAAGAAGUCCCAGCCCUAGCCUGGUUUUAUUCCACAUGCAUGGAGAGAUUCUGUGAUUUUUGCAUUCUCCAGUAGAAUUGGGACACUGGUGCCUUUAUUUUCUUGACAUUUAUUACUAAAAGCUUUUCUCAAGACUGUUAAAAGUGAUCCAAAUGGUUAUGUAGCUUUAAAAAGAAUCUUUUUUACUCACCUCACUUGUGACAUUGUUUCCUCUUCUUCCUCUACAGAUAUUGCUUCUUACCAUCCAAGGGCAAGCACACUCUUCCUGAGAAAGUAUCAAAUGCAUGUGCAAGGAAAGAGGAGAAGCUCUCGCCUAUAUUCUGUAAGUAAGCUUUUGAAAAGUUAAGAAAUUAAUUGUUUAAAUUAAAAGUCUAUCUGUCAUAAUUCCUUAGAAAUGUAACAGGGACCCAGUGCUGUUAGUUUGAUCCUCUUUUGGUGAAUUUUCUAACUGUUUUCUAUUUUCCUAAGUGUCUGAUUUAUGCAGGAAAGUCUUUAACUUACUGUGCCCAUUUUUAAGGCUGUCUGACAUUUAAGUUAAAUUUAAAUAAUUUGGUUGUGAUAUAAAGAUCUGCCUUAAAUAUUUAAUCUUUUAAAAUCAAAUCAAAUUGAAAAUAGCCACGUCCAUUUUCUUCAACACUUUCUGCUGACUCCCUGUCACAGCAGCUGAAAGCGCAGCAUCCUCACUCCACUGCACCCUUAUUUCCCUCCCCGUUUCUUCCACCUAUAACACACUUUUAAUUAAAUCAUGAAUUGAUAUUUACAUGAUUAUGACUAUGCACAUAUUAUUCACUGCUGAUCAUAUAAUGUUCUGAAUGUGCCUCUUCCUUGCACAUCCUUCAUUCUUUCUCUUAAAUAUUUCGAAACCUGAACACUUCUGCACUUCUCCAAGAUAACCUCCCCUUUCCUAGCCCAUGAUGGCUCAUAAAACCAAAUGUGACCAUUAGCCUCCGCCGGUCUCUUUGUUUUCACAUCCUUCAUUUGUGUGUGUGUGUGUGUGUGUGUGUGUGUGUGUGUGUGUAAUUGAUUUUCUGACUAUAUUCCUUUGGCUCUCUAACAACUAUUCUUCCCCAAGAGUUGUAACAUUUGUCACAUGCCUAUCAAAAAUAUGUUUUAUCUACUAAAAAAAUACAUUCCAUGUUUUUUUCUUGAAGCAGGUUUCCUUGGCCUUUCAUUAUCAUCCUCAGGAUGAACUGUGAUUUCCUGGGCUGCCCUGCACCUGUUGGCCUGGGAGCUCUCUCUGAAAUCUGGGACGACUAAUGUUGGGUCCCUGAGUCCUAGACUGUGCAUUACGCUCUGCUUUGUGUUACUCCCCAGUAAUGCUGGAGUGCAGUUUCUGAGGAAAGGCUCAUAUACACACAUGUUUAGAGAUCUGGGCUUUCUUAAAAUCCCUCAUUUGAUAUAGAGUAUAAAAUUCUAUAGUGAAAACUAAAUGUCAUGGCUUGAAGACAUUUUUCUAUUGCAUUUUUAUUAUACUGUUUUUGAAAGUAUUGCCAUUGUGUGAUAUGUCAUAUGUAAUCAAUGUUUCCAUCUGUCAAGUGUUUCGGACCUUCUCUAUCCCUGAGAUUCUGAAAUUGUAACACAAAGCUUGGUAGGGACCUUUUAUUUUAUUGUGACCAUUAAGUCUAAAAUAAAAUUUAGAGAAUUUUUCUGUGUGCUCUGUUU
rnacentral:lncRNA from 13 species